UGGGGAAUAUUGGACAAUGGGCGAAAGCCUGAUCCAGCCAUGCCGCGUGUGUGAAGAAGGUCUUCGGAUUGUAAAGCACUUUACGUUGGGAGGAAGGGCAUUAACCUAAUACGUUAGUGCUUUGACGUUACCGACAGAAUAAGCACCGGCUAACUCUGUGCCAGCAGCCGCGGUAAUACAGAGGGUGCAAGCGUUAAUCGGAAUUACUGGGCGUAAAGCGCGCGUAGGUGGUUUGUUAAGUUGGAUGUGAAAUCCCCGGGCUCAACCUGGGAACUGCAUUCAAAACUGACUGACUAGAGUAUGGUAGAGGGUGGUGGAAUUUCCUGUGUAGCGGUGAAAUGCGUAGAUAUAGGAAGGAACACCAGUGGCGAAGGCGACCACCUGGACUAAUACUGACACUGAGGUGCGAAAGCGUGGGGAGCAAACA
rnacentral:rRNA from 1 species